AAAACUUUAGUAUAGUGAGUAUACUUCAUUGUCGUUGGAGUGGGUUGUAAGUUUUG
rnacentral:tRNA from 1 species